AUACGGAGGAUCCGAGCGUUAUCCGGAUUUAUUGGGUUUAAAGGGAGCGUAGGCGGACGCUUAAGUCAGUUGUGAAAGUUUGCGGCUCAACCGUAAAAUUGCAGUUGAUACUGGGUGUCUUGAGUACAGUAGAGGCAGGCGGAAUUCGUGGUGGAGCGGGGAAAUGCUUAGAUAUAACGAAGAACUCCGAUUGCGAAGGCAGCCUGCUGGACUGUAACUGACGCUGAUGCUCGAAAGUGUGGGUAUCAAACAGGAUUAGAUACCCUGGUAGUCCACACAGUAAACGAUGAAUACUCGCUGUUUGCGAUAUACAGUAAGCGGCCAAGCGAAAGCGUUAAGUAUUCCACCUGGGGAGUACGCCGGCAACGGUGAAACUCAAAGGAAUGGACGGGG
rnacentral:rRNA from 1 species